CUAGGCUAUCUUGUAAAAGGAUCUGUCACUUAUAUUUUUUUCUUCUUUUUUAAUUAUUAUUAUUAUUAUUUUAUGCAUUAAAAAGUGAGCCUCAUGCCUUGUAGAAGACAUAUAAGGUUGUAUGAUUUGAUAUAGAUCGAAUCCAGGUAUUCUCAAGCAUCUGACAAGAUAGCUUUUCAAGAAAGAUUUUCAGGGGAACAUUAUGUCUCUUACUACAGUUGAUUUCACUUUAUCCACCCUUAUGUAUAGGAAGAUCGCUGUACUGUCAUUCAGAAAGAGAAAUUGGUCCUGCCACCUACUUCACCCUAAGGAAUUUCAGCACAGUGCUAACUCACAGUGGAUGUGUUUACUGGUAAUGCAAAGCAAGGCAAAAUGACUUGCUGAUGAAGAAUGCAGUGAAUGAUUCAUUGAUGAAAACAACUUGAU